UUACGGCCAUAUCGCGUUGAAACACCAGUUCCCGUACGAUCACCGAAGUUAAGCAACGUUGUGCUUGUUCAUGUUCAGUACCUAGAUGGGUGACCACUUAGAAAUACCAGGUGCUGUAA